AUAAAAAAUACAAGUCUCGCACCAGAAGCGGCGGCAAUGAACAGCUCCAAUAGUGUCUAAUAAUGUUCCUGCAGAUAUUUAAAGGUUUUUAUUGGGAUUCUUGGGGGCUGAUUCUGGAUUGACAAUAUGGCCGCCACCGGUUUCUUCCUUCAUCCACCGGUUGACAUUGCUUGAGAAUCAUUUAUGUAUUUCGGGCUCAGGUAUCCACCCUUAUUAAAUUCAUGUAUGAAUCUGGUUUUUGAGCAAAUUAGAGGGCUUCAGGCAGGCGGGAGCCAGAAUAUCGCGUAUGGAAUAAACAAAGGGGACCACUCCCGGAUCACAUCCUAUGUGGGACCGGGAAUGGUUAAUAGGGAUAACAAUUACCAGGGGUGGCAUUGUCAUUUAAUUUGCAGAGGAGAAACUGCCUGAAACAGUAAAAACUAACUCCUGUUCAAGCAUUUGUUUUGGCAAUAAUACUUCAGUACUCGGAGAAGGAAAGAUAGGGACAAAAGCCUAUCUCAAGCCGUCAAGGAGGAGGUAGGCAGGCGUUCUUCAAAUUAUUCGCCCCGGGGGCCCGGGCAGNAGAGCGAAUAAACCACAAAANNGGUGNGGU
rnacentral:rRNA from 1 species